rnacentral:tRNA from 1 species
UAAUAAUUUAAAUAAAUUAAUUUAAUUUAAAAAUAAAAUAUUAAAUUUGUAAUUUAAAAAUGUAU